rnacentral:rRNA from 1 species
GUGAGGGAAAGGUGAAAAGAACCCCGAGCAGGGGAGUGAAAUAGACCCUGAACCCGUCUGCCUACAAGCGGUCGGAGCGUCGUAAUGACGUGACGGCGUGCCUUUUGCAUAAUGAACCUACGAGUUACCUUCCCCGGCAAGGUUAAGUACCUAAGGUACGGAGCCGAAGCGAAAGCGAGUCUGAACAGGGCGCCAAGUCGGGGGGGGUAGACGCGAAACCGAGUGAUCUACCCUUGGCCAGGUUGAAGGUUGGGUAACACCAACUGGAGGACCGGAUGGGUAAGCGUUGAAAAGCUUUCCAAUGAGCUGAGGGUAGGGGUGAAAGGCUAAUCAAACUCGGAGAUAGCUCGUACUCCCCGAAAUGCAUUUAGGUGCAGCCUCUUUAUAGUAUAUCGUGAGGUAGAGCGACUGAUUGGAUGCGAGGGCUUCACCGCCUAUCAAGUCCAGAUAAACUCCGAAUGCGCGAUAUAUAUUUACAGGGAGUGAGGGCGCGGGUGCUAAGGUCCGUGUCCGAGAGGAGAAGAAUCCAGACCACCGGCUAAGGCCCCCAAAUGAUCGUUAAGUUGAACUAACGAGGUCGGAUCGCAGAGACAGCUAGGAUGUUGGCUUGGAAGCAGCCAUUCAUUUAAAGAGUGCGUAACAGCUCACUAGUCGAGCGAUCUGGCGUGGAUAAUAAUCGGGCAUAAACGAUCUGCCGAAGCCGUGGAUGUCGCAAGACAUGGUAGGGGAGCAUUCCAUGCGGCGUCGAAGAUGAGGGAUGACCCUUGUUGGAGCGCAUGGAAAAGCAAAUGUAGGUAUGAGUAACGAUAAGGGGGGCGAGAAACCCCCCCGCCGAAAGACCAAGGUUUCCUGAUCAACGCUAAUCGGAUCAGGGUGAGUCGGGACCUAAGGCAAAGCCGAACGGCGCCGCCGAUGGAAGAAUGGGUUAAUAUUCCCAUACUGCCUCAUGGAGUGACGUGGAGACGGAGAAGUGACAGUCCUGCCGGCUGACGGAAUAGCCGGUUGAAGGGUGUAGAUAUUGAUUCCCGUAGGCAAAUCCGCGGGGAGAGUCGAACCUGAGAGUAUACGGAGCGCUUGCGCAACGUAAUAUGGACGUAACCAUGCUCCCGAGAAAAUCCGCUAAACUUAUCCAUGCGGCACCCGUACCGUAAACGGACACACGUGGUCGGGUUGAGAAUACUGAGGCGCUCGAGUGAUUCACGGUUAAGGAACUAGGCAAAUUGACCCUGUAACUUCGGGAUAAAGGGUCCUCGUCGUAAGGCGAGGCGCAGAGAAUAGGUCCAGGCAACUGUUUAACAAAAACACAUGGCUGUGCUAAAUGGAAACAUGAUGUAUACAGCCUGACACCUGCCCGGUGCCGGAAGGUUAAGAGGAGAUGUCAUCCGCGAGGAGAAGCGUUGAAUUGAAGCCCCGGUAAACGGCGGCCGUAACUAUAACGGUCCUAAGGUAGCGAAAUUCCUUGUCGGGUAAGUUC